CUUUGAUGCCGCUGGUGAACGACCUCACAUUUUCUUUCCUGGUUUUCUGGUUCUGCCUCCCUGUGGGUUUGCUGUUGUUAUUGAUCAUCUGGCUACGCUUCUUACUUAGCCAAGAUUCAGAGGAAAAUGACUCCAGUGUGUGCUUGGAUUGGGAGCCCUGGAGCAAAGGCCCAGCUGAGUUUUGCUGGAAGGGGACACUCCACGGCCAAGAGAAGGAGAGGCCCUGCUGGUGAGCCUGCUGUGCCAGUUUGGUUUUCCUGGAGUCAGCAGGGCAGUGGCAAUGGCAGAAGUGGAUGGGAGAGACUUGCCAGGGAGGCAAGAGGACUUUGGCAACUGUGGUGCCUCCCUGGAACCCCCAACUCAUCUCCUCUUCAGACCGACAUGUGAAAGCCUCCAGAGGUCCCAGCCCUUCUCCAGCAUCACAGAUGACCUCCAGCCCUGCAGGGAGCCGCUCAAGUCUGGGAGGGCAUGGGAGCAGUGAGCAGGCCCAUGGGGAGAAAUUGGCCAAUUUAAUUCAGAGGGGUCUUAAAGCAGGGCUGGGCCGGAG
rnacentral:lncRNA from 1 species